rnacentral:rRNA from 1 species
GACAGAGGGGGCAAGCGUUGCUCGGAAUCACUGGGCGUAAAGGGCGCGUAGGCGGGAUGGCAAGUCGGUCGUGAAAUCCUUCGGCUCAACCGAAGAACGUCGGCCGAUACUGCCGUUCUUGAGGGAUGCAGAGGAGAUUGGAAUUCCCGGUGUAGCGGUGAAAUGCGUAGAUAUCUGGAGGAAUACCGGUGGCGAAGGCGGCAUCCUGGACCAUUACUGACGCUGAGGCGCGAAAGCUAGGGGAGCAAACGGG